rnacentral:rRNA from 1 species
GGUCUUAUCGGGCCCUCCCUUCGGGGCUGAGGAGACAGGUGGUGCAUGGUUGUCGUCAGCUCGUGUCGUGAGAUGUUGGGUUAAGUCCCGCAACGAGCGCAACCCCUGCCUGUAGUAGCCAGCGAGUCAUGUCGGGGACUCUACAGGGACUGCCGGGGUCAACCCGGAGGAAGGUGGGGAUGACGUCAAAUCAUCAUGCCCCUUACGGCCUGGGCGACACACGUGCUACAAUGGCACAACAAAGAGACGCGAUCCCGCGAGGGGGAGCAAACCUCAAAAAUAGUGUCCCAGUUCGGAAUGCAGUCUGCAACCCGACUGCACGAAGCCGGAAUCGCUAGUAAUCGCGGAUCAAAAUGGCCCGGUGAAUACGUUCCCGGGUCUUGUACACACGCAA